GUUCUAUCGAAGCGACGGCGAGAGCCCCAGCGAGUCGAGCAGCGAGCCACUGUUCAGCGUCAACAACAGCGGAACGAGCCGGAGCCGAGGCUCCGACAGGCCGGGGCCGAACCGCUCCGGCUGGAGGCUGGACAGAGACAUGGGACUGAUGAACGCCAUCGGCCUGCAGCCCCGACACCCCACCCCUUCAGUGACAUCGCAAGGAACCCAGACGCCAAUCAUCCAGCUGCAAAACGCUGAGACUCAAACCGAGAGGGAGCUGUCGGAGCCGAGCGCCUCGCAGCCCGCUCAGAGUACUGACACACACACAACCCCGUUCAACUAUCUUAGUGUCCCUCCUGAAGCUCCGUCCACCAGUGGAGCG